rnacentral:rRNA from 1 species
GACGAACGCUGGCGGCGUGCCUAAUACAUGCAAGUAGAACGCUGAAGAGAGGAGCUUACUCUUCUUGGAUGAGUUGCGAACGGGUGAGUAACGCGUAGGUAACCUGCCUUGUAGCGGGGGAUAACUAUUGGAAACGAUAGCUAAUACCGCAUAACAAUGGAUGGCACAUGUCAUUUAUUUGAAAGGGGCAAUUGCUCCACUACAAGAUGGACCUGCGUUGUAUUAGCUAGUAGGUGAGGUAAUGGCUCACCUAGGCGACGAUACAUAGCCGACCUGAGAGGGUGAUCGGCCACACUGGGACUGAGACACGGCCCAGACUCCUACGGGAGGCAGCAGUAGGGAAUCUUCGGCAAUGGGGGCAACCCUGACCGAGCAACGCCGCGUGAGUGAAGAAGGUUGUCGGAUCGUAAAGCUCUGUUGUAAGUCAAGAACGGGUGUGAGAGUGGAAAGUUCACACUGUGACGGUAGCUUACCAGAAAGGGACGGCUAACUACGUG